CGAUGGUUCAUUCAAAUUUCUGCCCUAUCAACUUUCGAUGGUAGAGUAGUGGUCUACCAUGGUUUCAACGGGUAACGGGGAAUUAGGGUUCUAUUCCGGAGAGGGAGCCUGAGAAACGGCUACCACAUCCAAGGAAGGCAGCAGGCGCGCAAAUUACCCAAUCCCGACACGGGGAGGUAGUGACAAUAAAUACUGAUACAGGGCUCUUUUGGGUCUUGUAAUUGGAAUGAGUACAAUUUAAAUCCCUUAACGAGGAACAAUUGGAGGGCAAGUCUGGUGCCAGCAGCCGCGGUAAUUCCAGCUCCAAUAGCGUAUAUUAAAGUUGUUGUGGUUAAAAAGCUCGUAGUUGAACCUUGGGCCUGGCUGGCCGGUCCGCCUCACCGCGUGUACUGGUCCGGCCGGGCCUUUCCCUCUGUGGAACCCCAUGCCCUUCACUGGGUGUGGCGGGGAAACAGGACUUUUACUUUGAAAAAAUUAGAGUGCUCCAGGCAGGCCUAUGCUCGAAUACAUUAGCAUGGAAUAAUAAAA
rnacentral:rRNA from 1 species